AUUAAAGUGGCAGAAUGAGUGCAAUAGGGUUAAGUCCUAUUAAUGAAAUUAAAUUUCCUUUAAUU
rnacentral:tRNA from 1 species